UACGUAGGGGGCAAGCGUUGUCCGGAAUUAUUGGGCGUAAAGAGCGUGUAGGCGGUCCGGUAAGUCGGCUGUGAAAGUCCAGGGCUCAACCCUGGGAUGCCGGUCGAUACUGCCGGACUAGAGUUCGGAAGAGGCGAGUGGAAUUCCCGGUGUAGCGGUGAAAUGCGCAGAUAUCAGGAGGAACACCUGCGGUGUAGACGGCUUUCUGGACCACCACUGACGCUGAGACACGAAAGCGUGGGUAGCAAACAGG
rnacentral:rRNA from 1 species